rnacentral:tRNA from 1 species
GAAAAAUUAGUUAAAUACUAUAACAUAAGCCUGUCAUGCUUAAAUCAUCAAACAAUCUGAUAUUUUUCA